rnacentral:rRNA from 1 species
CGAAGGGUGCAAGCGUUACUCGGAAUUACUGGGCGUAAAGCGUGCGUAGGUGGUUUGUUAAGUCUGAUGCGAAAGCCCUGGGCCCAACCUGGGAAUGGCAUUGGAUACUGGCGAGCUAGAGUGCGGUAGAGGGCAGUGGAAUUCCCGGUGUAGCAGUGAAAUGCGUAGAGAUCGGGAGGAACAUCUGUGGCGAAGGCGACUGCCUGGACCAGCACUGACACUGAGGCACGAAAGCGUGGGGAGCAAACAGGAUUAGAUACCCUGGUAGUCCACGCCCUAAACGAUGCGAACUGGAUGUUGGGUGCAACUAGGCACUCAGUAUCGAAGCUAACGCGUUAAGUUCGCCGCCUGGGGAGUACGGUCGCAAGACUG